UUUCUUCCUUUCCUUCCUUCCUUCCUUCCUUCUUUUUUUCUUUCUUUCUUUUCUUUCUUGUUUGUUUCAAAUGGAGAGUUGCUGGAGGAGAAGCCGGGCUGGAGCGGCUGCAGAGCUCAGGGUCCCAGUGAGGAGGUGAUAAGCCCGAGGAGGAGCUGCAGGAGGAGCUCAGGAGGAGCUGCAGGAGGACCGUUAUUCCUGCUGCCCAGGUUGGGAGUGAUGAGUGUGAGCCGCUCCAGGAAGGCGACCUGGGGACGGACUGACGUGGAAACGCCUCUUCUAAUGACACUUUUCUCUGUUCCUCCUGUGUGGAGGAGAGGAGAGCAGAGCAGAGGAGGAGAGAGGAGAGUUGAGACCCUGAAAGAGAGACAGACGCCACCUAUCUACACGGGGAGGGAUAAUUGAGCCGAGCGAACGUGAGCAUCGCGGGGGAAACGUGAUCAAGAAUGCUCGAGUGUGUGUGACUCUGUGUGUGUGUGUGUGUGUGUGUGUGUGUGUGUGUGUGUGUGUGUGAGAGAGAGAGAGAGAGCGAUCGUGAUUGUGAUUGUGUGCGAGCGUGUAACUCCGUCUCAGUCCGCGUGCCUCGUCUUCCUUUCUUUUUCUGCUUCCCACUUUCUCCUUUUCUUUCCAGUUUCACAGAAAUGAGCUGAGUGAGUCGCGUUACCUCCAGGUCCGAGUAACAGUGAUAUCUGAAGAAAGUUGGGGACCCCACCCCCCCACCCCCAACACCCACCCAUCCACCCACCCCCUACCCCCCGCAGCCCAUCCCCAGACACCCUGGACAUCACGACCAGAAGGGAUCCAACUGGAAACCAUGGCAUGCCGCGCAAACUCCUCAUACACCCCGGAGCCUCACACACCGAGGACCCCACACUCCACGGACCCCCGCGCGGCCACGGAGGAUGACCGCGGGGAGCGCAGGGCGUUUGUUCAAAGCCAAUCGGCUUCCAGGGACCCGAGGAACACAGAGGAGAUGGAAAGAUGGAAAGAUGUUCAACAUCUGGAAUGAGGACAUUUCCAAAGGCUGCAGAUGAGAGUGGCUCCCCCGGGACACCUACAGUGGCCCCCCCGCAGAGGUGUCCAUUUCUUGCUGUACGUCAACGGUGAGUAUUUUUCUUUAUUUUGUUACAUUGAGUAGGGGAAUUAAUCAGAAUUACAAAAUAACGUGGAAAUUCUCUAAAAAAAUAAAAAAUACAUUAAAACAAUCAGACAUGUAUGUUUUU